CAGUAGCCACGGUAAAACGAAGGGGGCUAGCGUUGUUCGGAAUUACUGGGCGUAAAGCGCACGUAGGCGGAUAUUUAAGUCAGGGGUGAAAUCCCGCAGCUCAACUGCGGAACUGCUUUGAUACUGGGUAUCUUGAGUAUGGAAGAGGUUAGUGGAAUUGCGAGUGUAGAGGUGAAAUUCGUAGAUAUUCGCAGGAACACCAGUGGCGAAGGCGGCUAACUGGUCCAUAACUGACGCUGAGGUGCGAAAGCGUGGGGAGCAAACAGGAUUAGAUACCCCAGUAGUCCCUGUCUCUUAUACA
rnacentral:rRNA from 1 species